GAGGAAGAACUGCAAACCCAGGCACUACCAAUCCUGUGACAUGCAAGAUUCCUGAGUUGUGCAGUGACACUUGGCAAGCGAAAGGAGACCCAAGACUACAGGACUCUCUGAUGGUCUGCUGCUGAACAAUGACCACUGAGAGCAAGCACAGGAAAUGUGGAGCCCAGAGAGACCUGACACACAGCAGGAGAACCUCUCCUAUUCAGCCCUCUUUCGGUCCAUGGGCUCACGAGGGACAGACGGCCUCUCUCGCGUGUGCUUGGAGGAGAAACUAUAUGAAUGAAGUGAGCCAAUGAACUUGCAAGCUCCAGAUCCUGGAGGUGUGAAGUCGUCCAUAGAAAUGCCGCUGCUCUUGUCUGCCCCCUCAGCGUCGGUGGAGGAAGAGGCCUUCUGGUGGUCAGCCUCUGUAGCAGACGCUUGUGCCUCUUCCUGGCCUCUGGCCAAUGGGGCAGCCGGGUCAUCUCCUGGAGUUUUUUCCAGAGACUGACCCUGCUCCUGGCUGACAGCACCUGGGGUGACCUUGGGGGCUGCAUCAUCUUGUGGAGAAGCUCGCUUCAACUUUCGGGACUCUGGCUUGGCCAUCAAGUUAUCACUUGAAGACAGUGAAGAUCCUAUGGUUCCUUUCCCUGUCUCUGCGCUUGUGUGGCCCCUCAUGGCCGCUGUGGUCUUUCUCCUAGCAUGGCCAUGUCCUCCAGCCCCCCUCUUCUUCUCUGACAGGUGGAAAAUAGAGGGUACAGCUGUGGGCUUCAGCAGGCGAUGCUGGUCCUCCAGUCUUUUGGAGAAGCUGUCUUUGGUAAAAUGCUCACUACAGAGGAAUGAAUACUUAGUCGGGGUCCAAUUAUCCCUCUGAACAGCUUUUAACCACUGGAUCAGUCGUUUGGAGUCCUUUAGGGGAAACCUUCAAGACAAAUGACAAAGUACUUAGAAAUAUUGACAUGCAUUCUUCUAAAACUAUCAUCAAUAAAAGCAAAUCAAGUAUUUCUGC
rnacentral:lncRNA from 1 species